GAUUUUCAUACAACAUAAGCAUAAAAUAUCGACAUUAUCUCUUACACAGUUAAUGUAGUGUGCUAUAAACAUGGCAAUAACAGAAUGAACAGAUACACUAAUAAAUGACGUGUUCAAAGUAAGGAAGUAUGCGAUGAAUAACGGACUAUCAUGGGUCUGGUGUUUGAAGGCAAUCUUUAUAACGAUUCUCACGGCCAUACCUCUGGUCAUUUAUAUAGUAAACACAAAAGCUUAUGGUGGUCAUUAUCAGGUGUAUGGAUCAACACAUGCUAAGUGCGUUGGUAGCAAUGACGGAAUAACAUCAGAAGUAGUAAAGAGGAGAAACGAACUAUCUAGACAAUUAAAUGAUAUGAGCAAAAAAAUAGGACAAAUAGAAUGUGAGAGACAACAAGUUAACAGAAGGGGUGGCUGGUGCAAGCAUUUAAGUAUGGAAACAACUGGAGAACAUAAAACUGAUUUUAAACUUGUAAAGGCUUUAUCACGAUUCCUUGAAGGCAAAAAUGUAGGGAGCUUUGGUGAUGGACCUGGUGUUUACAAGCGUGAAAUCCUCAAAUUAGGACAGGUCAGAUAUUAUGACGCAUAUGACGGAGCGCCAUUUUGUGAGGAAACAAGUGAAGGGAGAGUUCAAUAUAUGGAUUUAACCAUUGCACAAUACGGAAUACCUCUUUAUGACUGGAUUUUGUCUCUAGAAGUAGCUGAACAUAUACCGCAACAGUAUGAGAGUGUUUAUUUAGAUAACAUAUUCAGACAUGCUCGGGAGGGUAUAAUAUUGAGUUGGGCUGUACCGGGACAGGGAGGAAUGAGUCAUAUUAAUAAUAAACCACUUAGUUAUGUGAUUAAUUUGAUGAAGAAUAAUGGGUUUGUCAGAGACGAGGAGCUAUCAAAACUAUUAAGAAAGUCUACAUCGCUAUGGUGGUUACAGCAAAAUACAAAUGUUUAUAAACGAGUUGAUUUUCUGAAGUUAAAAAAUGAGACCUAUUUGAGUCAGUACUAUGCAUAGCUGCUUAAAUGAGGAAAUAAUUCAGCAAAACUUUUAGGAAAAAAGUUUCGUUAGCAAUUUGAAGAACCUUUGCUGCAUGAAAUGAUUUAAACGUUAAGUAACUGUGCUUUAACAAUUACACUCCAGUUCUAUUGUUAUACUUCAUAGUUUCUAUUUCUGAAACAAGUGUAAAUUUAAUAGAUCUAUUGUUACGAAUAACAAUGGAUUUUGACCACAGGGUGUGACGAGCGGGGUUUCUGGAAACCCCUGCUUCUACAUCCUGAAAACACAGUCCAUUGUUAUUCAUUACAAUAGAAAUUGAUUUUUUUUUAAAAAGCAUGAACAUAAGAAAUUAUUAAUAGUGUUCACUACAAGUUGUUUCAAGAUAUCAAAAAAAUAUUUUAGGAAAUUCCAAUAGCGAAAAAAUUAUUAAGCAUCUAUUUUGAAUAAAAAAAAACUUUUAAAGGAAAAAUAAUUUGAUUGAUAGCGUCAAAUGGACAAUCUCAUUGGGCGAAAUUGCCUGUGAUAAACGAUGAUUGAAAGCAAAGCAGUUUCAGGACAAUAUUUCGUUGGAGUAUGCCAAACACGUGUGACUUUUUGACUAUGUUAAAUGAUUUUAAUGGAACCCUUACGUCAAAGAAGGCCGUGCCGUUCUUGGUGCUUAAUAUUGUUUUUGUCUGUAUUUUAACUAUUUAUGGUAUUAUGAUUUUAAUUGAUAUUCUUGUUACGGAGUUUUCUUUUAGGUAGCUAGAGAUAACCGUUGUUACACUUACCAUAGAGAAGCUAAUGUAUUUUUCUUUUUUAUAAUUCGAAGUCAUUAACAACAUUAAACAUAAUGUCAUAAAAUGAAUGUUAGCAAAUGAACGUAUGUAUGUGUGUAUUUGUGCGAAUGAGUAGGAAUGAUAGUUUGGCUUUUUUUCAAAUGGCUUGUAAUGAAAAUAAAGUCACGUCAAUGUUUAAAUCAAUAAGGAAACGACCAUCUAACUUGAGUAUGUUUUUUUCUUUCUUUUCUUUACUACACAAGCAUCAAAUUAUUUAUUUUUUCGACAUGCAAUUUGAAAAAUGUUUUAAGAACUUAACAUUAAGAUUUAAUGGAAAAAACUUUCAAUCUGAUUUUUUGUUUUCUUCUCCCUGAUCAAAAUAUUAUUUUUCUUUAACGUUGGGAAUCAGAAAAAAUGUUCCCCCCCCCUUUCAGAAUUAGAUGGUCGUUCCCUAAAUGAAUUGAAAAGUCAUCAAUAAAUAUAGCAGUAAAACUGCACAAUAAAUUUAUUUCUAAUUUAACAAAAUUAUACGCGGACAAUUUUAGAAAGGUUUGGGAUAAGUCAUAUCAGUCCCGAAGAAAAAUCAAAUAUGUGUCUGAUGUACACAAUUGCAAACACUAUUGUUUAACAGCAAUCGGGAACACAGAUUUUCUAGUAUCUGCCGUACUAAAAGCCGGUAAUAGGGGUAUAUGGUGUAUAUGGUAUGGGUUUUCCUUAUCGUUGGGUACCAGUACAGAAGAUGUUAACAUAGUUGUCUCAUUGGAAAUCAUACCACGUCUCAUCAUUUUUCAUAUUAUCACGUGAACUAUUUUGUGUGCAUUGUUGACCGCAAGCAAAAUUAGUUAAUAAUUUAUAUGACUGCGGAUAAACCACUUAAAAUUGGAUUAGGUAAAUCGAGUCUAAAAAAUUGUAUCGAUAUAAAAGAUUUAUUGUAGGAAGGGCGUCAUUGAAACUGAUAGUGAGCAUUUUAUAUUGCUUUUCAAGGACUUUUUAUUCUGUAAAUUGUAUAUAAUCCCACAAAUAGAAUAUGUACUUUCCUAUGGAAUAGUGCACAAAAGAACAUGUUUUUAUGUAUUAUGGAAAUAUUUAAGUAUGAAUUCGUUAAAACCUAGUUGAUUUAAAAAAGAAAUAACCAUGAACGACAACAGGAUAUUUACUAAUACUUGAUUCUCACAUUUUAAAGCGGAAUAUCGCUAUUAGUAGUCAGACUGGAUUUAUCUUGUCAAAACUCAGAAAAAUCGCUGUGCAUAGCAUUUACAUUUGAAAGAUAUCAGUUGUCUGUUGGACGCAAAUAUUACAUGACUGUCACUGUCGUAUGAGCCGGUGGGGGUAGGGGCAUGUUUUGUAUCUUUAUUUAUUUUUUGCUUAUCACGUUCGGAAUUUCCCUCGCCACUUUUCAAUCCACUCCUACGCCACUGUAACGUGAAGGAAUUCAAAAUUUGAAAACUGUUGAUUUGACCAGUUUAUUAGAAAGUGACGUAAUAGAAAUCCACUCAGUUGAAACCUAAACAUUUUGAAAUGUCAAGUUAUAAUCACAGUUUCCGUACCAUAGAAGCUUGGGACAUGGAUUCCAUCCUUUUUCUAUAUUAUGUAUAUGUAUUCUGUGUUAAUUUUCCACGUGGAAAAUAAGAAUAGAGGGACAUAAUGUAUGAACUACUGAUGUUGUGAUAUCGUAUGGAUAGAUGCAAGAACACAUUAAAUGCGUGAACAUAAAUUAAAAUAUUAAAGAUUAUUCCAUAUCAAUUAAUAUCACUUUAGAAGUUUUUUUUUAUAUAUGUAAUGGAUUUUUAAUAAAACAUCAUAUUCACCUGAGGAAAAAGUAUAUUAACCGCGCAAAAUGUCGCGUGCUUUAACGUGUACAAAUUAUGGUCAAUUGUUUGAUGUACAAUUGGAUUUUGAAAAUAAUUGUCAUUCCAUACUUUCUCUCUCUCGGAUUACGGAAUAAGACAAUUACUGUCUUUUGUUUCAGUAAAUAUGUGGUUUAAUUGACUUUUGAAAAAAACUAAUAUUCACCAUCUGAGGCCAACGGCCUCAGUGAAUAUCAGUUUUUCAAAAGUCAAUAAAACCACGCAUUUACCUCAUCAAAAGUCAGUAAUUGUAUAAUAUUUCCAUAUUUACCCCCAUAAAAUAAAACACACAAAAAUAGAAAGAAAGAAGGGGAGGGCGGUUUCCAUGCCCAAAGCGCCAUUGGUCCACGCUAUAUAAUAUAUCGGUAUCAUAAAUAACACAAACACCUUAUAAAUCAGCUUUUAGUAGGUGUACCUCUAGUAAAUAUGUAGGACUCUUAAGUGAGAUGGGGACCCCAAAACGUGAUAGUUACGCUAAAGUGCGAUUGUUUGGUAUGCUAAAGUGCGAUGCUAUGUGCUAUUCAAUGAAACACGAUAAAGUGCGUUUUCCCGCGAAAAUAAGGACGCAAUUAUAUAAUUCAAGCUUUAGACGGUCCCUCUACGCGUUGUGUGUGUUGUAUUUAAUAAACCUGGGAGUAGUUUAUUGAUAUACAAUGACCCAGAAUAAACUGAUUAUUUCUGAACGUUUAUCAUUUGAUAUUUAGUAUUUCAAUCAUAGUAUGAGAAAAUGUCGGAAAGAAUGAAGAAAAUUAAGAAAACGAUAUUUCUGUUAAAAAUAUUCAUCUAAGGUAGGAAACACAGUGGUCGGAAAGCAGAAAGAUAAUCAAACAAAAGGAUUUUUCUGUAAAAAAAUAUCUAAUUUCAUUAAUAGAUACUACCAGACUAAGAGAAUAUUCAUUGUUAAGGUAAAACUGAGACUGAAUUUAUUCCUAAUAGUUAUAGAAUAUAAUCAAAAUUGUGAUGUAUACGUGCACUACGUCUCACAGGUUGAGUCAGUCAUUACAUUUAUGAAAAUUAUAUGUAACGUAUGAGCACCAAUGAGCAGGGAUGCGUACCAGAGUUAGCUAAAUAUCUAAAUUUUAAAAGGUCGUGAAUGAAAAAAAAACUUGCGUGGUUUCAAUUCACAAGGAUUUUAAAUCCUUGCAUCUCACAAAAAACGUAAUUAAUAUUUUACAAUAAUCAUAACAAAAUUUAAUUACUAUCAUAAUGUUAAUUUUUUUUUUUCAUUUUUUUUCUUUUAUUAGUUCAACCUUAUAGCAUCUUAAUAUUUGUACUAUGGUACGAUUUUGAAAAUUGUAUUCAUUGUGUUGGUCAGCUAUCCUACACGUCUUGAUUCAUACACAUUAUACAUCACCCUGUUCACACGCACACACUCGGUUUGCGUUCACAAAAAAUCCGGAUAAAAUGUCAAUGAAUCCGGAGUAAAAACACUUGAGGUAGGUAGUUUGACAUCCGAAUUCAACUAUUAGAUUAAUAUAUGUGAUGACGCAAAUGCGUAUUUUUAUCCAGAGUAUCAGUGCGCAUGCUUUCUAUUUACUAUUUCUUGCGCAAAAAUACCACGUUCAUGCAUAAAUAUUAAUUUCACUCGCGAAUGCGAAUUUUCGCUUUUCUUAUCUUAAUUCUGGACACGGUAAUAAGAGCUUGCCAUGUGACUUUCAAGCACGGUCAUCAUUGCUUAUGGUAUUCUGACCUCUAGCUGUUUCUCUUUUGUUUUCUUUUUUGAGUCACUGUCCUUUUAUAAACUUUGACAUUUUCAAAAUGCCAUGGAUUUUCUACCCAAGGAAUAGAUUACCUAACUUCGUACUUUAUUUAGCCUUUUUAACUAUUUUUAUUCGAGCGUCACUGAUGAUUCUUUGUAGACCUAACUCGCGUCUGGCGUACAACAUGUUAAUCCUGGUAUUUUUUUUUUAUAUCUACAUGUCUUUUUAUAUAAAUUGGUUCUUUUGAGAGUAUGUUCAGGUAUUCAUAAAACUUCUGAAAAUAAGAUAUUCUUCAAAACCAAGUUUCUCUGUAAAAUAUUUGGAUUGCUUUAAGUAAAAUCAGGAAAUCCUUAAAAUUUGAGAUGUUUUAUGAGACCAAAAUAAGUCUCUACAUAAGAGGUCCAAAUGAAGCUGGUGUGUUACUCUCAAGAAAAAUAUACGAAACCUUCUUAUAAGUUGCAUGCCACAGGGUUUCAUUUCACAUGGAAAAUGAACUUUAAAUUUAUCUGUACAACAUCUACCAUGAGUACAGACAUCUUCAAUAACGAGUUGAGAAUAUGAAGGCAUCCAUGCAGGAAACAAAAUAUAAAGAUGUGAUAGAUAAAAUAAAUGCAUCCAGAUUAUAAAGCAAACUGAGUGCUUAAAUUUAUAUUGCGAUUGGUUUGUGCAAUUUGCAUUAUACAUCCGGUUUGUAGAAUCUGGGAUUUUCAAUAGGAUUAUAAAAAAAAUGAUGUAAUACAUGAAAUAGUCGAGCUUUAAAAUGUAUAUUCAAAUAGUAGCUGUAUAUACACUUUUCUAUUCACACCUAUGAUCCAACAUUUGCUUUCAACUGACUUGUGCAAGAAUGUACACACUAUUACAUAUUUUUAAUAAAGGUAGUUUAACUUCAUCAUUAUCUCCUUCUAUUCACGGUCAAUUAUUUCAAUUUAAAAGCAAACAAACAUUCAGCAACAAUCUUUUGGUGACCAGUCAGCGGUCUUAGGUUCACGUAUUGCUUUUCUUUUAUUAAAGAAAGCAACUUGUUUUUAAUUUGGACCAAUACAGUUAUGUACAUAUGUAUCAAGAAUUAAUGUUAUUGGAGCUUAUUUCCUAAUGCUUGUAGAGUAAGACUUUGGUAAGCUUGCUUGCUUUAUUUGUGUAAACGUUUGCCCAAGCAUAUAAUUAAGAUUGACUUCUGCAAACGAUAUAAAUAAGCGGAGUUGAACCUGUACACAUUAUACUUAAAUUUAGUUAGAUGUUAUCCUGGAGGUUAGGAACACCCAAUUGUACAUGUAAACAUUACAGGACAAAUAUUUUUCACACAUUUGAUAAGCUGUAUUUUAUAACAUUACAUAACAUUACUGGGCAAAUAAAUAAAGAAUAGAGAAAAAUGGUAUAAAAAUUAAAGAAUACAGAAAUAAAGGACCCCCAUCCAGGUCCUGUUGUAUUGUUUGGUGUAGCUUCCUUAUGAUAGGUUAUUAUAAUUAUCAAUACAAAUGUAUUAUUUUAGGUAUACUGACCAAAGAAAGAAAUCAGAUAGUUUGCAUACGGCCAAGAUUAAAGCCGUUAUUUCCUAAAACUUGUCAAGCUAUAUUUUAGGCAUCUCACUUUUGGUGGUUUCAUGAGAUAUCUAUACAUUGCCAAAAACGUAAAGAUGGGUAGAUUAACUAUAUACCGCCAUCUUGGAUUGUGAAAUAGCAGUUCACAAUAGUUCUAGUUCUUUGCUUAAAUCUGCAAAUUUUGAGACAGAUUUGUAAUUAAUGUGUUAGACUUUUAUUGGAUUAGACAAAUAAGUGAUUUAUUGCAUCAUUUGGACUUAUUCACCAAAUACCAAAUAUUUGUGUUUGUUCUAAUCAAAUUGUCAACUUAGCCAUUUAAGGGGAGAUAACUCAA